CUCAGGAAAAAUAUUAAUCUUUGUAUAAAGGUUAAUGUUAAAUUUCUCUUACUUGAAAACUAGGACGAAGUCUUCGUAACUAGAAAAUUUAAAUUUUAGUUACCAAAAUUAUUGACUAUAUCGAUAUAAAACUAUAUUGACUAUAUCGAAUUAAACGAACUUGAUAAUUUUAGAACUGAAUAUAUUUAUAUUUAUAGCCGAAAAACAAUUAUUUUGAUUAAUCAUGUUAUUCAUAUAAUCGCAAAGUCUAGUGAUAAAUCAAUUGCCAACUUAGAUUUCAGGUAUUUGAAUUCACUAAUUCCAAAAUCUAAAUUUGAUCAAUAGAAUUGAAGUUUUAAAAUAGUUUCAUCGAUAUUUAUCACACUUUUUGGACCAAGCGUAAAUGAACAAGACAACUGUGAUUCCAUCCAUCCACAGUUUCGAUCUUUUCCACGUUUGGAACACGAUGUUUCGAUCAGUCAGGAGCGAGAAGUCACGUUGAUUGGUCGGUUUCUAUCGAAAGUCGGAUCCGGCCAUGACUUUUAUCGCGGCAUGAAUGGGGAACCGUAACGGUGCGACCGGUUCACACGAGGCCAUGUCUCGUCAUUGGGAAUCCACCUGAUGUCGAUGGCCGGUUCUUUCGAAUACGUGUAACGAUUUUACGCGUAAGUAGGUAAUGGUCUCCUUUUCCGAACGCAUAUGCAUCAAAGCUGGUCCGAAGAGGAAUUUAGCUCUUUCUUCUUUGACAUCAACAUUGAUAUCUUGUUUUUUCCACUUUUUCCGCGAUUGAAAAAAACAAAUAAGUCUGGAUAGUAUGAGGAGAAAAUGAAGAAAAUUUGAAGAUAUUUUUUUUGAAAAAUUCUUCAAGAUAAGAAGAGAUAAGAGUAUGGAUGCUUCUCUUGCAUCUGUUUAAAAUUAUUAUUUUUAAUUUUAUAUUCUUCAUAAGAUUGAGAAAAAAUGUUUUUAAUUUUUAUUAAAUUUCUAAUUAUCAAUGAUUAAUUUAAUUUGAUUGAAUGUUGGAUUAUUCGAAAAAUUGUAUUUAUCAGAUAAAAAAGAUUUAUCGUAUCGAGGAACGACAAAGGUGCAAUAAUACUACGGAUUUUGAUUCUGAUGAAGACGUGGGCCAAGAAAGCAGGUCGUGGAACGCGGAAUCGCUCAUCGCGCAUUAAGAGGAUCUUCACUCGGUUUGCUCGUCGCCGGAAGUCGCACAUCGUCCAUAAACCCAAGUCUAGAACGGGCGCAUUCGACCACGUUUAAUUGUUAACUCGACUGUCUUCGUGUACGCCAUUACGUAAUUGAACUUGACAGAAGAAACUAUUUGUAAUUCGUGUUCAUGAUUUCUUUAGAAACAACGCUUUUUUUAAUAAGUGAGCAAUCUACGUAACUUUGUUUUCGUGUAUUCUCUGUUUAUAAAUACAAUUAGAAUUAAUUAUUAUUAAUAUUUAUAAAAUCAAAUUGUGAAAAAUCAUGCUAACUGUAAGUUAAUCAGAACCUAAAUUAUUUAGUAUUAUAGCUUAGUAUUAUAUUCUUUGCAAUUGAUUAGCGUUGCAAUUGAUCUUGUCAAAUUCAUUAAAUUAUAAUGAGUCUAUAGUAUAAGAAGUAGAAAAAAUAAUUAAAAAAAUUUAUUGUAUCUCAAUAGAUUCGAAAGAAAAAAAAAAGAAAAGUACUUUGUAUUAAAGAGUAGAAUUUGAUGAAAAAAACGAAAUUAAAUUAAAUAUUAUCUUUCAGUUAGCUAUGAUAAUAAAUACAUAUUAAUUUUUUUUAUAUUUUUUGAAGAUCAUUAUCAAGAUCUAAUCUUCAAUUUCUAACUUUGUCAUUUUUAAUGUCAAGAGCUUUCUACGGCCUUGAUAAAUUCAUCGAAUAAGUUAGUGCAAGUUUCAGUUUCGAGCAGGCUAAUCACGUUACUUCUUACAGCAUGUCUUCUUCACAGCGGGAAUUACGUUCCGGUUCGCGUUCACGGAACCACCGCUCGUAAUCUAUCCUGUAAAGUGGGUAGAGAAACUUCUGAAACAGCUUCUGUCAUUUCUCAGAGACCUUGAACUAUGCUGCUUCUCGAUAGAAAAGCAACUAUUCGUGUAGCUCGAUAUAAAUUCAACAACGAAAGAAAGAAUCUUAUUCGAAUGGAAUAAAAAAUCUCUCAAAAAUCAAAAAUCGGAGACGUUAAGUUAAAGAAGUUAAAAAGAAGUUAAAAAUAUUUCGAGUUUUAAUCGAUUAUAUGAGGAAAAAAAGGAUAAAUUAAAAAAAAAUGGAAAAUAAGAGUGGAUAAGCAGAAGAUAAAAAACAAGUGAGAAGAUGAGAGGUUAAAAUAAUCGGUCACCAAACGUGCCUUUGACUAUACGGUAUCCUAUCCUACUUGUUACUCGUUGCACGAUCAUUACUUCGUUCCAUACAUCACGUUUCGUCGGUCAUCAUUUUUUUUCUAUUUUUCGAACGAACGAUGAGUAGCUAAUGAGUAUCUUUCGAUAUUAAUCAUAGUUUCAUCAUAGUUUCCUUCUUCUCUUCAACAUAGAAAAAAGGGGAAAUUUGUCUUGCCAUUUCGAAUCUUUUACAUUCUAUUUAUUCAAGAAUAGUCUCACUUCCUGUUUUAAAUUAUUAACUCUCUGUUAUUGGCAAUAGAGAUACGAAAAAUUCAUGAGAGAAAAUUCGAGGGUUGCGUAAAGGAAAUGUAUAAAGAAACUCGACUUCUGUGAAUUAUAAUGUGCAAUGGCAAAAGUGUUUUCAAAGAUUUCGUUGCGGAAUCUCUGUAUGCUAUCUGCAUGCGCUACUUGCUCGACUAUAGUUUUACUCGAUGUACUUACGUGUUACAUUUCACUUUGCUAACUAUUCAGAUUUUUCUCUGAGAGACAUUUUUUUCUACAUUUUCUACGAACAAUGUUUUUUGAUCCUUUUUUUCGAUAUGGAAAAAAUAUUUUUUUGAACAUUUGUACAUUCCUUAUCAUUCUGUUUUCUGAAAACUAAAUACAAAAAGAAAAAAAUUCAUUUCUAUGAAUAUUCCCUCAUAAUCUUUUGCGUUUCAACAGAUGUCUUUAAUCGAUUCUUUGUUGCGCGAUUAUCUGCUAGCACAAGACGAUCUAUUGUAACGAACGGUUCUUUCUUGAUCCAUAUGCUCCGUUUUUUUGCUCCAGUUAAUCGACACGCGAUUAAUCAAUUCCACGGUUCGUCGAUCACGCUGAUUACGAGCGCGACUGAGAAAUCAUGAAUUUUCACCAUUAGCGAUCAGAUUCUUUGAUUUAUUUUAUAUUUUAAUCCUUCUUAAUAUUUCACUUUCACUGAAAUAACGAUUCAAUCGCAUCGAAAUUAAUUGUUUUUAUAGAAAACAUUGAUAUAUUUAUAAUCAUUCCAGAAAGCGCAAUAAAUAUAAUAAUGCUUAAAAUUGUUAAAAUUCAAGAGAUAUAACAGUAGAUAAAUUUUUGCUUAAUCGAUAAUAUAUACUCGUUGGAAUAUCAUGAAAAAAUAAUAAUUAAUUUUAAUUUUAAUUUCUACGUUCAACAAGGAUGGAUGAAAAAUCAGUGGUGAUUGGAUAAAUAACAUUUCCAAGAUGGUAACCUGUUCCUCGAACAGGAAUUCGUAUAUUACCUAAGACAGGUUUAAAGUACAAUAUUCGUAAAAAAAAAUUUUCUGAAAAUGAUUAGAUUGUGGACAUAUCGAAGAAUCAUAAUAUAUAAUGAACGAUUUUUUAUCAUUCAUUAAUAGUUCGUCAUUCAGCUGCUUAUUUCAUAAAAAAAUCUAUAAGUUUGAUUUUUUUUUCGAUGCUUCGUUUUUAAUAUUUCACAAUUUUGAAUUUUUAUUUUUUUUCUCGUAAAUGAUUGUUGCACAAAAUUCAAGAUCUAUAGAUUGAACUUCAAAUCGUGAAAUCAUGAAUAAGUUCAUAAUUCGUCCUCAUCGAUGCUAUUACGAUACUGAAUUCGCAAUCGUACUAUUUAUCAUGAUAUUGUUAAAUAGUGAAAAAAUAGCCGAAGGACAUUAAAAAAGAAUUUGUAAGAUUUCACGAUGAGAUUUGAUUCUGAUUAUAUGUACCUUUAGUACAGAGUUAUUUCCGUUUUUUUUUCUUUUUUUUUUUUUUAUCUUCAUCGAAUAACAUAAACAAAAUUAAAUUAGCGCGGAAUUUCUAAAUUUCACCAGAAAAAUUUCGGCCUUUUCUAUGAAAAAUUUUUUCUUAAUUAGAAAUCAAAUCGUCGGUUUAUCCAUAGCCGCAAUUAUUGUUCACGCUAUUGAAACUUGAAAGCGAUGCAUUCAGUAAAUAAAUAUCCAUUUAUAUUUCUCACUGUUACGCGUAUAAAUACACUUCUUAACUCGUCGAAAUCAUUUUGACUGCUUUUGCGAGAAAAAAAUAUCUUUAUUUUGACGUAGAAUUGAAUCGCAUUUGUGCUUUCACUCUAUUACUUCGCCCUUUCUCUAACACGAAUAAAGCUGAAAUAACAGGAUCAGCCGCAAAUAUUUCGUGUUGCAAUCGAUUCGUCUAUUUUGCAGCAUGUUUAGAGACUAUAACAGUUCGAUACUCUGAUUUCGAUAUUCUAUAUUUUUACCAACUUACAAAAAAUCGUAAAUUGAUCAAAGCAUACUUUCAAAGAUUUAAAAGACAUUAAAUGUAUAUAGUAUCUCGAAGUAGGCGGAUCUUUGUAAUUUAAUUUAAACAUAUUCAUGAUAUACAAGACAAGACGUUUCUCUUUUUAUGAAAUUACUAUUUCCUAUACUAUGACUACACAUUUCAAAUAGAAAUAAAAUAUAGUAUAAUAAUCUCGAACGAUCGCUGUUAUGCGGGCAUCAAAGUUUCCAAGCGUCAACUGGUUAGAAAUACGUUUUCACGACUUUAACAGUUGUAUUAUCAUUUGCAUAUAAUUAAAUAAAUACCCGCAGUCAUUUAUAUUACUAUAAAUAUAGAUACGCAAAUUUUAUAACGAUUUAAAAUUUUUUAUCGUAAAAUUACUUUUCUCUGCAACGUUUUUCAAAGAUAUUUUUAAUCGAAAAAAUAAAAAAAUAAAGAAUAAUCAUCCAUGCUUUUUCUACUAGAAAUUGCUUCACCUACAAAUCGACGUUUUCGGAUACUCAAACCGAAAAAUGUACCAUAUCCUUUUCGAAUUAACUCGCAAUGCACGAGGAGAGAGUCACGAGGCGCUUGUUUGUCGUUGUUGUCGAAAUGACAGUUUCCACCGAUGCAUUCUUUCUUUUCUCGUCCGUUAAGCAUCGAACAUUUCGUCCCAUUGUUCUUGCGUGGCCGAGAAUAACGCAAGAAAGCCGAUCGAGGGAAAGUUGGGCGAGCAGGUUGGAAAAUGAAACGCUUUUGGCAAAUAGAGCGGCGGUGCACCGAUAACUUAAUUAACGUGCCCCGCGGGACAUCGGUGUCCAGUGACCAUUAAGUGAAAGUCGAGAAACAAUGAGGCGGGAAGCUCUGUGACUCGGAUUUAAUCACGGUAAUUACCAUUAACGACGAUGCUUCGCGUUUUUUAUCUGAAUCGCGUGGAACUUGAGGCGGAAUUGGAAAUGUGGACACGAUAAAAAGGUGAAACGAUCCACGAGCAGGAAGUUGGUGGUAGAGAUUUUAAAUCGUACGCCGAUCAUUGUUUUUCGAGCACCGAUGAACAGGUUAUGUAGAUGAUACUGGAGGAUAGCAUUGUGAUGUUGUUGUUGCCGUAACAAAGAUAUCAAGGGGACCGGGAUCGUGUUAGGAAUAUAAAGGAAGGAAUAUACGUUCACUCGCAUAUUUAUAGUACCGUUAACCAGGUUACUUCGCCAAGUACAGCGUUUAUGAGACUUUGGAGAUCCCCAUUAGUCUGCGGUUUACCUGUGCGGUAAUUUCGCAACAUGCUCUUGCUUCCUUCGUUCUUAGACUCGGUUUGUACCAUACUUUUAUCACGCGAUAGUAAUCGAGAUAACACGCAUCCAUGCUUCGUUAUGUCGAUGAAAUGAAUAUCGUGGCAAUUAGUUAAUUGGUUACAAAGCAACUUUUCGUCGUGACACCCGUUAUAGCGUCAUGUUUGACCGUUUGACCAGAUACACCGAUACUUUCUUUUCCUUGGUAGGAAAGGAUUAUUUCGUGAUUGGAAUCGAGAAUCUUGUAUCCAAUCCAUUUUUGAUUUUCCUUCGGUUAUCACGUGUAUGUAAAAAAAUAUUGUAAUUAAAUAAUAUAAAGAGAUUUUGAUGUAAAUCGAAAGCAACUCCAAAAAAUUAUUAAAAAUUGAAAUAUAAAGAAUUAGGAAGGAUUAUUUUGUAAAAAUAAAUUGUGUAUUUAAUGCUUUUUUUUAAUGUCGAAUAAAAAAAAUUUUAUAAUCAAU